GUGGACGCCAGUCUGCAUGGAGCCGGCCUUGAAAUACCACCCUUUAAUGUUUGAUGUUCUAACGUGGACCCGUGAUCCGGGUUGCGGACAGUGUCUGGUGGGUAGUUUGACUGGGGCGGUCUCCUCCUAAAGAGUAACGGAGGAGCACGAAGGUUGGCUAAUCCUGGUCGGACAUCAGGAGGUUAGUGCAAUGGCAUAAGCCAGCUUGACUGCGAGCGUGACGGCGCGAGCAGGUGCGAAAGCAGGUCAUAGUGAUCCGGUGGUUCUGAAUGGAAGGGCCAUCGCUCAACGGAUAAAAGGUACUCCGGGGAUAACAGGCUGAUACCGCCCAAGAGUUCAUAUCGACGGCGGUGUUUGGCACCUCGAUGUCGGCUCAUCACAUCCUGGGGCUGAAGUAGGUCCCAAGGGUAUGGCUGUUCGCCAUUUAAAGUGGUACGCGAGCUGGGUUUAGAACGUCGUGAGACAGUUCGGUCCCUAUCUGCCGUGGGCGCUGGAGAACUGAGGGGGGCUGCUCCUAGUACGAGAGGACCGGAGUGGACGCAUCACUGGUGUUCGGGUUGUCAUGCCAAUGGCACUGCCCGGUAGCUAAAUGCGGAAGAGAUAAGUGCUGAAAGCAUCUAAGCACGAAACUUGCCCCGA
rnacentral:rRNA from 3 species